UUAAUCCUGUUUGAUAAGGGCAUCCGAGGUUAAUCCUGUUUGAUAAUGGUGUCCGAGGUUAAUCCUGUUUGAUAAGGGUGUCCGAUGUUAAUCAUGUUUGAUAAGGGUGUCCAAGGUUAAUCAUGUUUGAUAAUGGUGUCCGAUGUUAAUCAUGUUUGAUAAGGGUGUCCGAUGUUAAUCCUGUUUGAUAAGGGUGUCCGAGGUUAAUCAUGUUUGAUAAUGGUGUCCCAGGUUAAUCCUGUUUGAUAAGGUGUCCGAUGUUAAUCAUGUUUCAUAAUGGUGUCCGAGGUUAAUCAUGUUUGAUAAGGGUGUCCGAGGUUAAUCCUGUUUGAUAAGGGGGUCCGAGGUUAAUCAUGUUUGAUAAGGGCGGCCGAGGUUAAUCAUGUUUGAUAAGGGAGUCCGAGGUUAAUCAUGUUUGAUAAGGGCGGCCGAGGUUAAUCAUGUUUGAUAAGUGUGUCCGAUGUUAAUCAUGUUUGAUAAGGGUGUCCGAUGUUAAUCAUGUUUGAUAAGGGUGUCCGAGGUUAAUCAUGUUUGAUAAGGGUGUCCGAGGUUAAUUAUGUUUGAUAAUGGUGUCCGAGGUUAAUCAUGUUUGAUAAUGGUGUCCCAGGUUAAUUAUGUUUGAUAAUGGUGUCCCAGGUUAAUCAUGUUUGAUAAGGGCGUCCGAUGUUAAUCAUGUUUGAUAAGGGUGUCCAAGGCUAAUCAUGUUUGAUAAUGGUGUCCCAGGUUAAUUAUGUUUGAUAAUGGUGUCCCAGGUUAAUUAUGUUUGAUAAGGGUGUCCGAGGUUAAUCAUGUUUGAUAAGGGUGUCCGAGGUUAAUCAUGUUUGAUAAGGGUGUCCGGGGUUAAUCCUGUUUGAUAAGGGCGUCCGAGGUUAAUUAUGUUUGAUAAGGGUGUCCGAGGUUAAUUAUGUUUGAUAAGGGUGUCCGAUGUUAAUCCUGUUUGAUAAUGGUGUCCGAGGUUAAUCAUGUUUGAUAAGGGUGUCCGAGGUUAAUCAUGUUUGAUAAGGGUGUCCGAGGUUAAUCAUGUUUGAUAAGGGUGUCCGAGGUUAAUCCUGUUUGAUAAGGGUGUCCGAGGUUAAUCAUGUUUGAUAAGUGCGUCCGAGGUUAACCAUGUUUGAUGAGGGCGUCUGAGGUUAACCAUGUUUGAUAAGGGCGUCCGAGGUUAAUCAAGUUUAAUAAGGGUGAAGCCCGAGUGAAACAAUGUCAUGAUUAAAUGAGUAGAAACAAAGAACCGUGAUUCCCUAUAGCAAGGGCAAUAGAUACUUUAUUAUGCAAUAUAAAUCAAUCGAUCCAAAACAAUAAUCAAAAAUAGAAAUGAUCAGGUUGACAUGCAAUUGUUGUCAUCUGCUUACAUCAUUCGGAGCUAGGUUGUGGUGGCUAUAGCUCUUGCAGAUUUUUCUAGAGAUGCUCCCAAUAAGGAAACAUGAUUGAGGAAACUUGAAUGUGUGAGGGCGACAUGAUGUUUUAUUUCCCUGUCAUGUGACCAGUAUCAUCCAAAAUGAAAUGGACACUCAGGACUAUGAUCGAUUAAGUUCUCACCAUUUUCAUAGGUUAAAAAUGCCGUUAACGUUUGAUAUGCUGGGUAACUGGCAAUAGAACAUGAUAUAAAGAGGGGUUUUACCUAAUCACAUGAUAUAAAACAGACUUAGUUGUCUUUAUGUCUUUCAUUCCUUGUGUACAUAAAUCUUUAAAAUAAUAA
rnacentral:lncRNA from 1 species